UCACCUUAGCGCGGCGGUGGAGAAGCUGCCAAGCGUUUGGCUGUUCGCCAAUUAAAAAGGUACGCGAGCUGGGUUCAGACCGUUUGGAAAUUAAUUUUUCUUAAAUUGAUUUUCGGACAGUUUGAACCCUCAGAGGAAUUCAUGAACAAAAUGAACUGUUUUAAUCGAAAACAACCAAUUUGCCAUAAUUAAUUUAUGAGCAAUAUCACGGCGGCGCUUUGUAGAAAUGCAGAGUGGCAAGCUAACUUAUAUCGGUGGAAUCCUAUCGCGCAAGCGAGGACAACGCCGAGGGAAUACUUUACUAAACUAAAGUAGCCCGUAGAGACUGAAUGUUAGCCUUCUACAAAAUUUAUUUUUUUGAAGAAGAUGUCACAGUCCAAUCCCAACGUAGAUGCGUGAGACAGGUUGGUCUCCUAUCUACUGCACUCGUUGAUUCUUGAGAAGAUUUGCUCCUAGUACGAGAGGACCGGAGUGAACUGACCUCUGGUGUAUCUGCUGUCCUGCCAAGGGCACUGCAGAGUAGCUAUGUCGGGAAUGGAUAACCUCUGAAAGCAUCUAAGAGGGAAGCCAGCUUCAAGAUUAGGAAUCGUUAUAGAACCGUGAGAGAUGAUCACGUUGAUAGGCUUUAGGUGUAAGCGGAGCAAUCCGUUGAGCCGAGAAGUACUAAUGUUUCGAUUCCUGUUAAGAA
rnacentral:ncRNA from 1 species